CGCUGGCAGUGCGUCUUAAGCAUGCAAGUCAAACGGGAUGUANCAAUACAUCUAGUGGCGAACGGGUGAGUAACGCGUGGAUGAUCUACCUACGAGAUGGGGAUAACUAUUAGAAAUAGUAGCUAAUACCGAAUAAAGUCAAUUAAUUUGUUAAUUGAUGAAAGGAAGCCUUUAAAGCUUCGCUUGUNGAUGAGUCUGCGUCUUAUUAGCUAGUUGGUAGGGUAAAUGCCUACCAAGGCGAUGAUNAGUAACCGGCCUGAGAGGGUGAACGGUCACNCUGGAACUGAGAUACGGUCCANACUCCUACGGGAGGCNGCAGCUAANANUCUUCCGCAAUGGGCGAAANCCUGACNGAGCNACNCUGC
rnacentral:rRNA from 1 species